GCAGCUGUAAGCAACAAGGCUGAAGUCUCUGCUGCUCCACAACCUACCUGCCAGUUUGGUCACAGGUAUCUCCCAAGAUACACAAUCACCUGGAGUGGAAGCUUCAGGACAACAGGGCUGGGUAUGUUUGCCGAUCUGCACAUAGUCCAUGUAUUAGUGUGUUUUCAUGCUGGGAACCUGCGUGUUUCAGAUAAGAUACCUCUUGGAUACCUCUUGAUUCACUCUUCUUCCUGCCACUGUGGUGAGGAUCAUUGAGUCUUUGACCAGCUUUAUGCAGGUACAACCUGACAGCACCUGACUUCAGGGCUGAAAUGGAAGCAUCUAAAAUGGUGGCUUGAGCAGCCCUGGAGGACCACAGCAU
rnacentral:lncRNA from 1 species